CGAGGGAAGACGAACCGGCGGCAGUCAGCCUCUCCCGUAGCUUGACUCGCUGCACGUCCAAGGACGGCUCCAUGCUGCCCUGGCGGAUGGCGGGCAGCAGCAGACUUGAUGCGCAUCUCGACGGACUGCCGGACGUGUGACGGAACAGAGACGUAGCGGAGACGCAACGCAGCGGAUCUGGUGUAAACUGAUGCAUUGACUUUAUUGGCGGCGAUUGCCUGCGGCUGCCGUGUUGGAAACGCACCGCAGCGGAUACGCAUCCAGUGUAAAUCAGGGAAUCUAUCCCCCUGGAUUCCCAGAGCUGGAAGAUAGGAAAACAGCAGGGAUGACUGAAUGGAAACCUAUCAUUGAUAUUUUAAGAGAUCCAGAAUUAAAGAGUAACUGCAAACUGAUGUCACCAGCUUGCCACAGGAAAACCUCCAUUGGCUGGCAAGUGGAGCCUCCUUGGAGACAAUGCCUGGGUAAUCAGUAACUGUUCCAUCUCCUUCUGUUGGACACCCGUGACCUACGACCUCUUCUCUGUGCACCGCGGCCCUCCCCAUCCCGGGAAGCACUGGCAGUCAAAGCCCGCCAGCAUGUCGCGGACGUAGCCGUUACCCUGCCGCGUUCUCAGGCUGUGC